rnacentral:misc_RNA from 1 species
GAAAUGCGAUAAGUAGUGUGAAUUGCAGAAUUCAGUGAAUCAUCGAAUCUUUGAACGCACAUUGCGCCCCUUGGUAUUCCAUGGGGCAUGCCUGUUCGAGCGUCAUUUGUACCCUCAAGCUCUGCUUGGUGUUCGGUGUUUGUCCCCGUCUCCGCGCGUGGACUCGCCCCAAAGUGAUUGGCAGCCGGCGUACUGGUCCCGGAGCGCAGCACAUGUCGCGCAAACGAGUGCCUUGGUACGGCGGCGUCCAUAAGCCCCUCUCUCACGCUCUUGACCUCGGAUCAGGUAGGGAUACCCGCUGAACUUAAGC